AAAUGCCAAAUAACAUUGCAUAAUGGAGGUUUUUAAUAAGCAUGUCAAUGUUUGUUUUGCUCACACAAUUCAGCGUCGUUAGUUACUUUUAACUAGUUGAGCUAACACGAGAAAGGGACGAGGUGUAGGUGUUUUUUUUAAAAGUUAUAUAUAAAACUAGACGAAUGCAGCUGAGAUAGGCUCCAGCACCCCCCGCGACCCCGAGAGGGACAAGCGUGUCACGGCAGUGAGUCCACGGUCCGAGCAAGAAAGUACCCCUAAACGAGGCGACAGCUCGUCAACAUGGCUGACGGCCGGACUGAAACAUUGAAUUUCAACGUUGGAGUUCUGGGACAUGUCGACAGCGGCAAGACGUCGCUGGCUCGGGCGCUGAGCAGCACCGCCUCCACGGCGGCCUUCGACAAGAACCCUCAGUCUCGUGAGAGAGGCAUCACCCUGGACCUCGGCUUCUCCUCCUUCACCGUGGACCUUCCGGGUCACCUGCAGGACAAGAAGGGCCAGCAGCCCUAUGACAGCCUGCAGUUCACCCUGGUAGACUGCCCGGGACAUGCCUCUCUCAUUCGGACUAUUAUUGGCGGGGCCCAGAUAAUCGACCUGAUGAUGCUGGUGGUGGACGUGGUGAAAGGAGUGCAGACUCAGACUGCCGAGUGUCUCCUGAUCGGACAGCUGACCUGUCCCCGCAUGGUGGUCGUGCUGAACAAGACCGACCUUCUGCCAGCCAGCAAGAGGCAGACUGCCAUUGAGAGGAUGACCAAGAGACUCCACAAAACGCUGGAGAACACCAGAUUUAAGGACUGUCCGGUGAUUGCGGUGGCAGCCAAGCCUGGAGGCCCCGAAGCUCCUGAUGCAGAGGAACCGCAGGGGGUGUCAGAGUUGAUUGAGCUAUUAAAAGAGCAAACGUAUCUCCCACAAAGAGACCCUGGAGGCGACCUGCUGAUGGCCGUAGACCACUGCUUCUCCAUCCGUGGCCAAGGAACGAUCAUGACCGGGACCAUCCUGCAGGGGUCGCUGGCCAUCAACGACACUGUGGAAAUCCCAGCUCUAAAAGUGAGCAAGAAGGUAAAGUCGAUACAGAUGUUUCGGAAGCCGGUCUCGGGGGCCAUGCAGGGAGACCGCGUGGGUGUGUGCGUGACCCAGUUUGACCCCAAGCUGCUGGAGCGGGGCGUCGUGUGCACCCCAGGCUCCCUGCGCACCCUCUACGCCGCCGUCAUCUCGGCCAGAAAGAUCGGCUACUUCAAGGGCUCGCUCUGCACGCGGGCCAAAUUCCACAUCACCGUGGGACACGAGACCGUCAUGGCAAGGGUGACCUUCUUCGGCCUCCCCGAGCGUUGUCCGGACACACCCGACCUACAGCCGUGCUCGCUGGAAACGGCCUUCUCCUUCGACAGGGAGUACCUCUACCAGGAAGACUACGUCGCCGGCCAGGGAGAGCCUAGUCCGGCACCCGACCCGGAGCAGUGGGCCUUGCUGGAGUUUGAGCGUCCGGUUACGUGCCCCUUACUCUGCCUGGUGAUUGGCUCCAAGCUGGACAGCGACAUCCAUGCGAACGCUUGCCGCUUGGCCUUCCAAGGACGUCUGCUGCACGCCUUUGAAGAUAAAUGCUACGCUGAGAGCAGCCUGCCUGGCCUGCUCAUCUGCAAGACCAAACACAAGGAGGGACAAGUGGAGCGGGUGACCGACGACUACACUGUGAUUGGCCGAAGCCUCUUCAAGAAGGAAACCAACCUGCAGAUCUUUGUGGGCUUGAAGGUCACGCUGUCAACCGGCGAAUCCGGCGUCAUUGAGGGUGGAUUUGGUCAAAGUGGGAAGUUCAAAAUCCGGGUGCAAGAGGGUCUUCGCCCAGAAACCAAGCAGUUGCUGUCCUCGUCUGGCAAGAAAAAAGGGAAAGGAGGCGCCCGAGACGCUGCCAACGAAGAGGAGCCCAAAGCGGAGGCACAUCAGUGGUCUUGCAGAGCAGCUGAUGGCAGCAGGACAGUGACAUCCCAUACUAAAUCAUUGGACUAAAACGCACGGGGGAAAGAGGAAAAGAUGAAAGAGGCUACCGAUCCUAAUCUGACAGCAGCUCCAGCCUGUUGCCAGGUUACCCCCUGGGGUGUCAAUCUCCAUUUAAAUCCUCGCCGCCUUGCCGCCCGACCGUCAACGCCGACCCCGCGCACCCAACGCUCCCCGAGGCCCCGCUCUCUCCUCCGCCGCCCCGGCGGGCUGAAUCCACGGCGCAUCAUCCGGCAGGCUCUUUUCCAUCCAAUAUGAGUGCAGCGAGAAGGUUGUGGAGGUUAAACUGGAGAAAUAACCUGCCUGAAGUGCAGCUGGAUAAGACUGAAAGGGCCCAUCCCCCACCUCCCUCCGUCUGAGAUUCUUAUCGUGGGCCAGCUUAUUGCUUCCUGAGGAGACCUGGAGCUCCACUUUGUGUUCCUGGGUGGACGGUAAGGCCACGUUGUUACCACGCCAGCAAUAAACUGGACAAAAUCAGUCAAGUACCGCCAACAAAGUCCCCUCGCUACUUUUAGUUACGCUCGGCUUAGGUUUCCUUUCUCGCUUUAAUGAAGGCCGUGGCGUCUGGGUGGCGUUUAGAUCUUCAUGUCCACGUAACCCAAACUAACCACAUGGCUCGUAAGUAAAGACGAAGUGACCUUUUUUUGUCGCUAAGACGUUUUCUAGGAUUGUCUUUUACUAAGAAUUUUUUCAUAGUUCAAUCUGAUUCGCUAGUCUUUUUUUUGUACGUACGCUAGCAUCUAUGCUAGCAGGAGCAAUGCUAAUGGAGAUCCCAGCAAAGAAACAAAUCUCGUUUGCGACUUUUUCCACC